rnacentral:rRNA from 1 species
CGGGACGGGUGAGUAAUGUCUGGGAAACUGCCUGAUGGAGGGGGGUAACUACUGGAAACGGUAGCUAAUACCGCAUAACGUCGCAAGACCAAAGAGGGGGACCUUCGGGCCUCUUGCCAUCGGAUGUGCCCAGAUGGGAUUAGCUAGUAGGUGGGGUAACGGCUCACCUAGGCGACGAUCCCUAGCUGGUCUGAGAGGAUGACCAGCCACACUGGUACUGAGACACGGUCCAG